UACGAAGGGGGGCUAGCGUUGUUCGGAAUCACUGGGCGUAAAGGGCGCGUAGGCGGACCUGCAAGUCGGGGGUGAAAGCCCGAGGCUCAACCUCGGAACUGCCUUCGAUACUGCGGGUCUCGAGUCCGGGAGAGGUGAGUGGAAUUCCUAGUGUAGAGGUGAAAUUCGUAGAUAUUAGGAAGAACACCGGUGGCGAAGGCGGCCAUCUGGCUCGGUACUGACGCUCAGGCGCGAAAGCGUGGGGAGCAAACAGG
rnacentral:rRNA from 1 species